rnacentral:miRNA from 1 species
CCCUGACCUUCUAAUUUCACACGU